rnacentral:rRNA from 1 species
UAGUAAUCGCAGAUCAGAAUGCUGCGGUGAAUGCGUUCCCGGGUCUUGUACACACCGCCCGUCACACCACGGGAGUUGGAGACGCCCGAAGCCGAUUAUCUAACCUUUUGGAAGAAGUCGUCGAAGGGGGAAUCAAUAACUGGGGUGAAGUCGUAACAAGGUAGCCGUAUCGGAAGGUGCGGCUGGAUCACCUCCUUUCUAAGGA